rnacentral:rRNA from 1 species
GAAGCAUUUUAAACGGCCGCGGUAUCCUAACCGUGCAAAGGUAGCGUAAUCACUUGUCUUUUAAAUAAAGACUUGUAUGAAAGGCUAAAUGAGAACGGACCUGUCUCUUAUAAUCAACCAGUAAAACUGAUCUUCAAGUACAAAAGCUUGAAUAAACACAUAAGACGAGAAGACCCUGUGGAGCUUAAAACUAACACUAUAUCACCACGAAAUAGCACAAGUUUUAAGUUGGGGCGACUUCGGAACAAAGCAAAACUUCCGAGCACAGAGCCAACCCCUCUCAUCUAGACCAACAAGUCAAAUGAAUAAGCCGACCCAGUCUUUCUGAACAACGAACCAAGUUACCCCAGGGAUAACAGCGCUAUCUUCUUCAAGAGUCCCUAUCGACAAGAAGGUUUACGACCUCGAUGUUGGAUCAGGACCCCCAAACGGUGCAACAGCUGUUAAAGGUUCGUUUGUUCAACGAUUAAUGUCCUACGUGAUCUGAGUUC